rnacentral:rRNA from 1 species
GGGAAACCCGCAGACAGAUGGGUCCGCGUCCCAUUAGCUAGUUGGAGGUGUAAGAGACCCCCAAGGCGACGAUGGGUAGCCGGCCUGAGAGGGUGACCGGCCACACUGGAACUGAGACACGGUCCAGACUCCUACGGGAGGCAGCAGUGGGGAAUNUUCCGCAAUGGGCGCAAGCCUGACGGAGCAACGCCGCGUGAGUGAAGAAGGCCUUCGGGUUGUAAAACUCUGUCAUCAGGGAAGAAGAAAGUGACGGUACCUGAGGAGGAAGCCCCGGCUAACUACGUGCCAGCAGCCGCGGUAAAACGUAGGGGGCGAGCGUUGUCCGGAAUUACUGGGCGUAAAGGGCGCGUAGGCGGUUAUCCAAGUCAGGGGUGAAAACCUUGGGCUCAACUCAGGGCCUGCCUCUGAAACUGGGUAACUUGAGGGCAGGAGAGGGGAGUGGAAUUCCCAGUGUAGCGGUGAAAUGCGUAGAUAUUGGGAGGAACACCAGUGGCGAAGGCGGCUCUCUGGCCUAACCCUGACGCUGAGGCGCGAAAGCGUGGGGAUCAAACAGGAUUAGAUACCCUGGUAGUCCACGCCGUAAACGAUGGGUGCUAGGUGUAGGAGGUAUCGACCCCUUCUGUGCCGUAGUUAACACAAUAAGCACCCCGCCUGGGGAGUGCGGCCGCAAGGUUGAAACUCAAAGGAAUCGACGGGGGCCCGCGCAAGCGGUGGAGCAUGUGGUUUAAUUCGACGCAACGCGAAGAACCUUACCAGGGUUUGACAUCCUCUGACAGCCUAUGAAAGUAGGUUUUUCAUCUUCGGAUGGACAGGGAGACAGGUGGUGCAUGGUUGUCGUCAGCUCGUGUCGUGAGAUGUUGGGUUAAGUCCCGCAACGAGCGCAACCCCUACGUUUAGUUGCUAACACGUAAAGGUGAGAACUCUAGACGAACUGCCGU